CCUGAAUAUGAACUUAUGACCUCAAAGUUGUUAGUUAACUCCAUAACCAACCAGGUCACGUUUUACCGACAAAAUUAGAAGAAACUUUUUCUCUUGUUUGUUUAUGAAUAUUGAGUCCUACCAUAUGAUAAAAAAAUUCACAAAAAAACAUGAUAAAAAAAUUCACAUGUACGUGUAACGAGAAAGCAUAAUAUUCGUAGAGCAUAGAUUUUAGAGUUUGCAUGGACUAGUGGAACACUAAAAUAACAAACAAAUUUGUUUGUUGUUCAACUUUGAAACGACGUUAAAAAUUUCCAUUAGAGUGUUCUAGUUAUAGAAUGGGUGCUUGACAUAGUUUGGUGUUUUUAUUUCGCAUGCAUGUAAUGACAUGCUGAAAUGAAAUAUGGCAUACUGUGUGACCAAGCCCCGUUCACCUAGUCAGUAGGUGACCAGAGAUUAUCUGGUCAACUGUCGUCGGAUCGGCUCGAUUUUGAUCCAAGGGCAAAAAUAAUAAAGCUUAUGAUAUGUCUCAACCUUUGGAUCAAAAUCGAGCAGAUCUGACGACAGUUGACCAGAUAAUCCCUGGUCGCCUACUGACCAGGUGAACGGGGCUGCUGUGUGACCAAAUAACAUUUGGUUAUGUAACAAGGCCCCCCAAAGGCUUCUACUACUACGUACUGCUCGAUCAUAUUUUCUUCUUUUCAACUUCUCUG
rnacentral:lncRNA from 1 species